CGUGCAUGAUGACACUUUUGGAAUGCUGUGACUCCCGAGUGCACAGUGGGGAACCCAACCUUGGAGAGCUGAGCGUGCG